rnacentral:lncRNA from 1 species
GGGAGGGUGGGCAGCGCGGCCCGGCGGAUGGGGGGAGGUGAGGGGAGGCAGAGGCUGGGUGAGAGCUUAGGGAGUGAGGCUGUGAACGCGCUGUGUACGACGCGGGGGUGUGGAUGGACCGGUAUAGAUGGGUCGUGGGGGGAAUGGGGUGUGGGUGGGUGUGAGCCCGUGGGUGUGCUGUGUAGGAUGCAGGGCGUGGGUGGGACGGCGAGAGUGGAGGGUAAGGAUGGGGCAUCAGCACGGUCCUGUGGACAGGAUGUAAAGGAUAGGGGUGAUGGAUGAGCCAUUGGUGAUGUGGGGGUGGAUGGGCCACCAGGGACGUGGAUCCAUGGGGGAUGUGGGGGGUGGAUGGGCCACCAAGGACAUGGAUCCAUGGGGGACGUGGGGGGUGGAUGGGCCACCAAGGACAUGGAUCCAUGGGGGACAUGGGGAGUGAAUGGGCCACCAACAAUAUGGCCCCAUGGACAAGCCAUGAAGGAUGUAGGGUGUGGAAUGGCCAACGGGAGCAUAGGGUAUGGAUGGGUCAUCAACAUGGCCCCAUGGACAAGCCAUGAAGGAUAUAGGGUGUGGAAUGGCCACCAGGAGCAUAGGGUAUGGAUGGGUCAUCAAUGUAGCCCCAUGGACAAGCCAUGAAGGAUAUAGGGGGGGGAUGAACCAUCGGUGAUGUGGGGGUGGAUGGCCACCAAAGACAUGGAUCCAUGGGGGACAUGGGGAGUGAGUGGGCCACCAAGGACGUGACCCCAUGGAUAGGCCAUACAGCCAUGAAUGCGGCCCCAUGGACAAGUCAUGUAGCAUGUGGGGAGUGAAUGGUCCACUGAGGGCACGACCUCACAGACAGACUGUGCAGGAAAUGGGGACUGAAUGGGCCACCAAGGACAUGGGACAUCAACAGUAAGACCACAUGGAUGGGACCUCAACAGUAGGACGCUAUGGAUGGGACAUCAACAGUAAGACCCCGUGGACAAGCCAUGCAGGAUAUAGGGCAUGGAUGAGUCACCAAGAACACGGUGAUAUGGAUGGCCGUGCAGGGCAUGGAUGGGCCAAUGAGGACAUGGACCCCACAAACACCGUGCAGGACAGCCUGACGUGGAGCUUCUCCAGCCUGUUGGAUCUCCCAGCUGUUCCUUUGGCUCACAUCUGUGCAAAGAAGCCGUUGUCAUUUUACUUAAGGAAAAAAAAAGACACAAAAACGUGGCUCAUUCAUUUCAAACGAGGGCAGCAGAGAACAUGAGGAAGGAUGUGAGAUGUGUGCUGGGGACGAGAGGAAACCCAGUCCUGCAUGCAUGGGGUGCAGGGGGAAAAGCUCACAACGGCUUCAGAGCGUUGUGCCCGUGGGUGCGGGGCUGCAGUUGCUCAGACAGGAAGAAUUCUCUACCUCAGACACCUGGCAGUGCAGGCUGUGCCUUCCAUCAGCAUGGAGCUCACAUUCCACAUCACCGGGGUUGUUCCCGUUGGUUCGUGUUUGUCUCCUUCUGGAUGCACACUCAGGAAGCACCUCGCUCUCCUAUGGUUAUCCCCUGCAGCCUCGAGCACACAAAGCUCCAACCACCAGCACUGAUCAAAACCACGUCAUUUUUUCAUCCACCUACUUCCCCUUUUCCCAUUAUCUUUUCCCCUCCUCUCAUCCCAACGAAGCACUCGUGCUGAAACACAGCUUCUUCACCCAGAAGAAAGGUCGGUGGGCGAACUGCACAGGAACUGAGGCAGAGCAUUCCCAAAUCUGCUCUUUUUCAGCACAGCAAAUGGGGAAAUGAGGAAGAGAAGCUGGUGGCAGCAAGGCUGCUGUGCUGGAAGCAGAGCCUGAACCCGGCAGCACAGCAACCAGAUGGCCCUCAGUGGCAUUUUAUUUAAGAACAAACUGCACAAGCUGGGGGGUAAAUGUGCAGGUGGGGAUGGAGAUACUGACCUGGAGAUACCAACCUGCUUAAUGCCCACUGUGCUGCAAGCACGGAGGAGCAGCAGUUGGGAAAUGGAUUUUCCCUGCAGGAAGAGGCUGCGGAAAGGAAGGUAUUGAUUCUCCUGGGUCUGCAUGAAAGGUUUGGGCAGAACCUCUGGAGCUCAAGGGGGAAAUCAUCCGGUGUUCCUUUGGGAACGCUGCUGAGGUGCAGAGGGUGAAGUGCAGAUGUGCUGCCGGCUGAGCACGCUGGGCUCCGGGACCAGCCGAGCAUCACACAUGUCGGGUUUCUGCUCAGCCGCUGCUGUGCCCUCUAGCGGAGCUCUGCUGCUCGUGACACGGAGCUCCUUCCCCGGCAGCUCUUUGUCUGACACCCAUUUCUUCCUACGUGCAAUGUGGCACCGCAUCGGUUCCUGCUGGAGAACAAUUAACUGCUC